UUCUUCUGCUGGUUUUCCCUGCAUUUUAACCGAUUCGCAUCAUCCUGUAACUGCCUGGUGCAUACGUUGUGGGUUGCUUUUGCCAUUUCUCCUUCUUCGUAACUUAGGGCUUCGUCAAUCGUUGCAACGAACCUACGUUCGUUCGUUUUUCACCUUUCUUCCAUGAUCGAGUCAGCCUCUGUGACCCCUGAUCAUUUUUUCCUUUUCUUCUUCCUUUGCAGCUUCCAUCAUGACUCGCACCAAGAUCACCCCGAAUCCUCCUCCUUCAUCGCGAAACCCUUCUUCUCAAGCACUCAACCCACCGCGAGCACGCGGUGCUUCAUCUUCCCAGG
rnacentral:lncRNA from 1 species